UUUGUACUCCCUUCGUCCCAAAAUUCUUGUCUUAAAUUUUUCUAAAUACGGAUGUAUCUAGUUACAUUUUAGUGUUAGAUACAUCCGUAUCUAAACAAAUAUAAGACAAGAAUUUUGGGACGAAGGGAAUACUAC
rnacentral:pre_miRNA from 1 species